AUGACAGAGAGGUUUGAUGACAUCUUAUUGAAGAAGGAGGAGGCAUACAUCAAACGCUCUGACAUCAAGGAGGAGAAAAAGGUGGAAAGGUUCAAAUUCUUGAUGGAGGCGACCGAGAAGAAGCUCGUGCUUGAAGAGAAGAGGGCCAUGCUCGAAGCGAAGAAGGUGAAGAUCGCAGCCAAUGUGGAGAACACCAAGAUGAUGACCUUGAAUUUGGAUGCUUCGGAUGCCGACACAAGAAUGAUCGUGCAAGCCGUUCGCUACAAGAUGUUGCAUCGGCAGAAAGAUGAGUUGCAUGCGCCAACAAGGAGGAGAUGGAGGCGCGGAGAACGAGGCAGAGGCUGCCUAUGCAGUGAUGACAUCACCUUGAGCGUGGAAGCUCGGAUUGUCGAUCCGGCAGGACAGAAAAUCUGA
rnacentral:rRNA from 1 species